rnacentral:rRNA from 1 species
CCUACGGGUGGCAGCAGUGAGGAAUAUUGGUCAAUGGCCGGAAGGCUGAACCAGCCAAGCCGCGUGAAGGACGAAGGUGCCAAGCAUUGUAAACUUCUUUUGUCAAGGGACAAAAUCAGGCUCGAGAGCCUGACCGAGGGUACUUGAAGAAAAAGCAUCGGCUAACUCCGUGCCAGCAGCCGCGGUAAUACGGAGGAUGCGAGCGUUAUCCGGAUUUAUUGGGUUUAAAGGGAGCGUAGAUGGGUUGUUAAGUCAGUUGUGAAAGUUUGCGGCUCAACCGUAAAAUUGCAAUUGAUACUGGCAGGAGGGAGUAGAGUGGAGGGAGGAGGAAAGAGGGGUGUAGCGGUGAAAUGCGGAGAUAGCAAGAAGAAAUCAGAGUGCGAAGGCAGCUGACUAAACGGCCAUUGACAUGGAGGCUCGAAAGUGUGGGGAGCAAACAGGAGUAGAUA